GACGAACGCUGGCGGCGUGCUUAACACAUGCAAGUCGAACGGAAAGGCCCUGCUUUUGUGGGGUGCUCGAGUGGCGAACGGGUGAGUAACACGUGAGUAACCUGCCCUUGACUUUGGGAUAACUUCAGGAAACUGGGGCUAAUACCGGAUAGGAGCUCCUGCUGCAUGGUGGGGGUUGGAAAGUUUCGGCGGUUGGGGAUGGACUCGCGGCUUAUCAGCUUGUUGGUGGGGUAGUGGCUUACCAAGGCUUUGACGGGUAGCCGGCCUGAGAGGGUGACCGGCCACAUUGGGACUGAGAUACGGCCCAGACUCCUACGGGAGGCAGCAGUGGGGAAUAUUGCACAAUGGGCGGAAGCCUGAUGCAGCAACGCCGCGUGCGGGAUGACGGCCUUCGGGUUGUAAACCGCUUUCGCCUGUGACGAAGCGUGAGUGACGGUAAUGGGUAAAGAAGCACCGGCUUACUACGUG
rnacentral:rRNA from 1 species